rnacentral:rRNA from 1 species
UGGGGAAUAUUGCACAAUGGGCGCAAGCCUGAUGCAGCCAUGCCGCGUGUAUGAAGAAGGCCUUCGGGUUGUAAAGUACUUUCAGUCGGGAGGAAGGUGUCAAGGUUAAUAACCUUGGCAAUUGACGUUACCGACAGAAGAAGCACCGGCUAACUCCGUGCCAGCAGCCGCGGUAAUACGGAGGGUGCAAGCGUUAAUCGGAAUUACUGGGCGUAAAGCGCACGCAGGCGGUUGAUUGAGUCAGAUGUGAAAUCCCCGGGCUUAACCCGGGAAUUGCAUCUGAUACUGGUCAGCUAGAGUCUUGUAGAGGGGGGUAGAAUUCCAUGUGUAGCGGUGAAAUGCGUAGAGAUGUGGAGGAAUACCGGUGGCGAAGGCGGCCCCCUGGACAAAGACUGACGCUCAGGUGCGAAAGCGUGGGGAGCAAACAG